GGGGGUGAUCGGCAUAGACAGCUGACCCGCGUAUAUAUGUGCAAAGUGGAGCAGUAUGAACUCCUAAAUCUCAUGCAAACUUCUAAGUGCAAAAACCUUAGGAAAAGCUGUCGUUUCUCCGUUUUACGGAGCAAAUGAUUUCGCUUUCGCUUACGCUAACGCCUAAGCGACAUCGUCUCGCUCGACGUCUCAUAGAGCGGUGUACGGUGUAAUAUUUGAGAAUAGGAAUUGUUUGUUCGCUUAACAAUUCCGAAACUUACGCGAAUCGGUAUAUGAAGAUUUCGUUUACUCUAACUUCAUAUAUUUAAAGACCGCAAGGUCAAAAAGUAACCUAAACUUUGUAGAUCCAUAUAAACGUUUCAGUUGCACCAGGGUUCGAUUCCCUGCAUCUCCACAA
rnacentral:tmRNA from 1 species